UACGUAGGGUCCGAGCGUUGUCCGGAAUUACUGGGCGUAAAGAGCUCGUAGGUGGUUUGUCGCGUUGUUCGUGAAAACUCACAGCUCAACUGUGGGCGUGCGGGCGAUACGGGCAGACUAGAGUACUGCAGGGGAGACUGGAAUUCCUGGUGUAGCGGUGGAAUGCGCAGAUAUCAGGAGGAACACCGGUGGCGAAGGCGGGUCUCUGGGCAGUAACUGACGCUGAGGAGCGAAAGCGUGGGGAGCAAACAGGAUUAGAACCGUACCGUCG
rnacentral:rRNA from 1 species